rnacentral:lncRNA from 13 species
AUGCACCAGACAAGAAUGGGCAGUCUUGUGGAGGGGCGGGGAGAAAGGCCUUCAACCAAUAAACAAGUCUGGAGGUUGUUUAUUGGUAAAAAUUGGGGUGAAAGCAGAGUGUUCAGAAUGGCGGGUCAGUGUGUUCCCUGGCCUGAUCUCUCCAUCACUCAACCUGUCAUCAGCCAUGCCUGCCUGACCUUGUUAGGCCAGCGCUUCUCUCCCCCGCACCCCUCCCCACCUCUCCUCACCCCCAGCCUCAUCCCAGAGACUAUGUAGCCCCGAUAUGUCAGGGGGAUGAUGAGUGUGUGUCCCUCUUGAAGUGACUUUGGGAGAGAGCGCGCCAGCGGAGUUUUGUUGUCUGUGACUCUGGUAGUAUGUGUGACAAUAUUUAUAUUGGUCAAGUUCAUGGAAGCCUGCUGCGCUCAGGUUUCCCCCAUACAAGCUAUUAAUGGUCCCCAUGGAAACCCUCUUUUCAACACAAGUAGGGGAUCAAACAAAGGGUCAGGUGUUUCGGUCGUGAUAUUCACUCAUCUUUGUUGCAAUGCCUUUUGAUGUAGCAAUAUAAUUGUCUACUCUAGUUUCUUAAUCCUGCACGGUCCUUCGGGUCCCACAGCACAUUUCUGCUUCAGCCCAUCACCUAAUUCAACUACCCAACCUAACGUAAGCCCUUGAUUAGCAUGAUAAGAUGUGUGUUAGUGCUGGGCACGAUCAAAAUAUGCACCCCUGUGGGUUCAGAGGACCAGGAUUAAGAACUCCAUGAAUACAGAAAUAUGUGUGACCUUUAGCUACAAGCAACUCUGGACAGUGAUACAGGCCGUGCAAGCUUUUACUCCAGCCCCACACUAGCAUGCCUCAUUCAAUCUAGACCAUGAUACAGUGCCUUGCGAAAGUAUUCGGCCCCCUUGAACUUUGCGACCUUUUGCCACAUUGCAGGCUUCAAACAUAAAGAUAUAAAACUGUAUUUUUUUGUGAAGAAUCAACAACAAGUGGGACACAAUCAUGAAGUGGAACGACAUUUAUUGGAUAUUUCAAACUUUUUUAACAAAUCAAAAACUGAAAAAUUGGGCGUGUAAAAUUAUUCAGCCCCCUUAAGUUAAUAUUUAACUGAUUUAACUUUCAUUGUUCAUGUGUUUAUUUUUCAUGCAAGAUUCUUCAUCCAUAAAAUGAAGUGAGCAGAGAACAAACUCUUCUUCACAUUAUUGAAGAUAGAAUUGAAAUAUUAUUUUGAAAUUAUCAGUAAAUGUAAAAACAAAAAAGCAAAACACACCAUAAAAAAUUGGACAAAUUGAAAAUGUAUUUGAUAUGUAAUACCCCUGUUAGGUUUAUGUACUCUUGUUUGUAUAUUUCUGUUUUUGUAUUUGUUGUGCUCAUAAUUUAAAAAAAAUCAAUACUCACCAAGUUUACUGCCCCGCCUAGUGGAGAAAGGGGAUCCCUGCAAGCGCAAGGUCUGCCAGACCUGUACCAGUCAUUCCAACAUAUUCCUUCAGCUGUUCUAAAGCAUACUGGGCUAAUUGUUAAUGUUCAUAUUUAUUAUACAAUAUUCUACCUAUCAUCGUCUGUUGAUCAUUAUUCUUUCAGUUGUUUGUAUUUGUAAAGAGUAAGUUCCUAGUUCAAUGCGCUGAUAGAUGUGUUUACUAUUAGGGAUGGUUAUUGUGAAAUCAACAGAUAUAUAUUUUUGAUAAUGAGUUUGUGUUGUUUGGGUGUAUACGAAACCAACUCUGGACUAGAACAAUUCUCCCUGAAUCUCUGCCAGAUUAGAGUAGAGGAAAGU